UACGGAGGGUGCGAGCGUUAUCCGGAAUCACUGGGUUUAAAGGGUGCGUAGGCGGUCUGAUAAGUCAGUUGUGAAAUUCCCCGGCUUAACCGGGCGGACUGCGAUUGAUACUGUCGGACUUGAAUCAGGUUGAGGUAGGCGGAAUGUGACAUGUAGCGGUGAAAUGCUUAGAUAUGUCAUAGAACACCGAUUGCGAAGGCAGCUUGCUGGGCUUAGAUUGACGCUGAGGCACGAAAGCGUGGGGAGCAAACAGG
rnacentral:rRNA from 1 species